ensembl:lncRNA
UGCGAUAUAUAAAUAUUUUGAUAUAAUUUAAUAUUUUGUGUGUAGGUAGUUGAAAAUAACUGAACUGUAAAUGCUCUCCCUGGCUCUCUGCUUUCUCGCGCCUAGGUACAUUUACAUUUUACAUUUAGUCAUUUAGCAGACGCUUUUGUCCAAAGCGACGUACAAGGGAGAGAAUAUUCAAGCUACGAGCAAUAGAACCUGGUGUAACAAUAAAUAAAUACUACUUUACAUAAGAAAUAUAACAAAAUGAAAUAAAAAAGAAAGAAAGGUAAUGUAUAUAGCACUAGGCAAAGGGCAAUAGGUAAUGUAUAUAGCACCACUAGGCAAAGGGGCAAUCCUGGGCAAUCACUCUGCUUCAUCCAAGCCCUCCCUGAAGGACCCCCCUGAGAUAUGGGCACCUGGCCUGCAUUCACCGCCGCUACGCUACUUGCUGUAAUUUGAAUACGGAUCAG